GCACUGCUGAGGAGUUCCACAAUAGGACGAAACGCCCGUCCAGUGC
rnacentral:hammerhead_ribozyme from 1 species